rnacentral:misc_RNA from 1 species
CAGGCGGCGACCCCGUAUCUCGAUUCCGUAUCUCAGACGGCCACUGCGCGCGCUCAGGCGGCUGUUUUAGCCCUUCUCGGUCCACCGCAUUCUGCGCCAAACUCCGCCAAACGCAAUGUCAACCCAGCCCGUUGAAAGAACCCGCUGUCAAACGAACAUUAUGUGUCUAAUAUACAGAUGGUCGUACCCCGAUCGAUGCAAAAAGGUUUGUCUUUCCACCUCUUGUUGUCUGCUUCUUUUCUCCUUUUGUUUUGACAUCUUUCUAUCUCAUCAUCACUAUCUCCGAACGAACGCUUCUGGCAACCUUCGGGCCCAUCCGUAGUAUCGCACAAUCGACCUCAACCUCAACAUACCGCCACCGCCAAUUGCCCCAAAUCGAACGACAAACGCACAUCAAACGCCGAACCGGCCCUCGGCAUUCAACCGCAGUCGGCAAUGCACCGCACACCGUCGUAGAGCAGGUUUGAACCUCAUUUUCGGCCCAAAGUAGUGAUGCGCCCAAAGAUGCGAUGCGGUGUGGUGCGGUGAUCCGGUAGACCGAACAUUGUAGAGUAGAGGACAGUACGCACGGGGUGGGAGUUGGUCACGUGAUGGAGGGAGCUAGUGAUGCGACUUUAGUGGGCAAUUGGCAAUUGGCAAUUGCCCGACACGACUCGAUAGGCUGGUUAUGCACAUGCAAGACGACGAUAGUCAACAUCGAAUGCACGGUCCGAAAAGCCGAGUCGUGGAGAGAAUUGGUCACGUGAGGUGAUAUAGGACGGUCACGACAUUUCUAGCACGUUACGACGUUUCUAGAAGUCUUUCUAGAAGGUCAGAAGUCUUCCUACAAGUCAUUCCUAGAAGCAUCCCUAGAGGUCUUCCUAGAAGUCAUUCCUAGAAGCAUCCCUAGAGGUCUUCCUACAAGUCAUUCCUAGAAGCAUCCCUAGAAGCACACUACCCAAAGUCGCUCUAGAAAUCUGAUUUCGUUCCGUCUCCACACUCCACAUCCACGUGACCAAAUCCGGCUUCGUUCUUUUCACCUCACUCACUCACUCACUCACUCCGACUUGCUCGGACUUGUUAAACCUGAUUUCCAUCAACCCAAAAGAACGCUAGCCAAAGGUUGAGUUUGGUGACGGUUGAAGGGGUCAUUGGGGACUGGUGACUCGGCGAAUGGACUAGUUUUCCAGACUCAGACUCAGACUCAGAUUCCAGACCUCCAGGCUCCAGACCUCUCACGUCUGGCUCCUCUCACGUCUGGCUCCUCCGACGUCAGAUUAUGAGUACUCCAAGCACUCAUACAGCACUGGUACCGUGCAAUGCCUCAUCCACGGACCUCCGUCGUAUCGCUCAAACUCCGGUGGGUCCAUAGAUACAGAGUUGGCGGAUGUCGAUCGCCAUUUAGGCUCAGCAAAGUGGUGGAGAGAGGAGUGAAGGGUCCGGGAUGUGGACGAUUGGGUGGAUAUGUGGGGAUUCUGAAACCACCGUUGGAAUCAGUGAGACGAGGCGAUUCCAAUGGUAUGUUUCUUGUCUGACAAAAUCCUUUCGGCUCUCCCCCCCAAACCGACCUCUCGUCGAAACUACCUCAAAAGACCCGUUCUAGAUCAUCUCCUUCAUCUACGCCGCGGAAAAACAAAUACCGCGUCACACCAUGCCGUGCCAUAGAGCCAUACGAGCUCCAGCCUUGCUCCGGGCGCCCUUUCGAUCUACAAGUGCACCGUACACACGACCAAACAGGUGGUUAUUAAUGUCCAUAUCCGCUGUCUGCAGUCGACAGUCUAUUGUAUGAUAUGUCGGAGAUGAGAGCCACUAAGGAGAAUGCAAUAUCUAUCGCCAUAUUGUCUCCUUCUAUCAUAGAGCUGUUUCUAGAGCUGUUCUGUGGGUCUUCGGUAUAGAUUAGAGGCGGUCGAGCACCCGUCCCCACAUGUCGACUCUGUGGACGUUCGAGGGCUCCGAUUCCAAUUCUGAAAGAGACAACUGGGGUUCAUUUUGCCGGCAGAAGCUCGUUUGGAACAGUCUCCGGCGGUAUCUCCAUUCCCCAUCGAGAUGACGACUCCUCCUUCCACCACUAAAGUUCAAAAGUAAUACCGCGACAAUUAACCGCAAAUAGCCUCGGCAUAUUUAAUCGUAUAGCGUCGUAUAUUCCGGCAGCCAGGGGUGGAGUCGGAGCUUUUCCGGACCACUAGUAA